UACGAAGGGUGCAAGCGUUACUCGGAAUUACUGGGCGUAAAGGGUGCGUAGGCGGUUUUUUAAGUCCGUUGUGAAAUCCCUGGGCUCAACCUGGGAAUGGCAGUGGAUACUGGAAAGCUAGAGUGCGGUAGAGGGUAGUGGAAUUCCCGGUGUAGCAGUGAAAUGCGUAGAGAUCGGGAGGAACACCAGUGGCGAAGGCGGCUACCUGGACCAGCACUGACACUGAGGCACGAAAGCGUGGGGAGCAAACAGG
rnacentral:rRNA from 1 species